UAAGGGUCCCCCGUGCAUCAUAUGGGCAUUCUUGAGUGUGCAGAUUGCAUCAGACCUGCACCUGAAUAAUUAAUAGUGACUGAAAUAUGCAGACACUAAAGUUCUGCAGCCAAAUUCUCAGAAACCUUCCUCUUCAAUGUAAGAUCAGGAUUUUGGUUUAAAUUUAUUUUUAUUUAAAAAAAAUUGCUAAGCAGAUGCUACACUGUAAGAAGAGGAAAGAGAAUCAAAAACUGAAAGAUUGUUACUAAAACCAGUGAACAACUGCAGAGAGUGGAGACCCGGCAAAGCAAACAAAUGAAUACUGAAAAAGAUCCCCAAAGGAGAUGUAAGGAUCCGGAACUCUAAUGUCUGCCAGAAACUUCAGCCACCUUCACAGGCUAGGGCUCACCGUCCAUUGUGGAGGUGAAGACCAGAUGAGAGCUGCUGGAUUGACCUUGAUGUGCCAUGUCCUUGUGUGGAUGAAGGACCUACAUCUCAGGGAUGGCCAGCAGCAGAUGUAACACAUGUGUCCAGGAAUGGGCUAAAUAACCUA